rnacentral:rRNA from 1 species
GAUGAACGCUGGCGGCGUGCCUAAUACAUGCAAGUCGAGCGAACAGACGAGGAGCUUGCUCCUCUGACGUUAGCGGCGGACGGGUGAGUAACACGUGGAUAACCUACCUAUAAGACUGGGAUAACUUCGGGAAACCGGAGCUAAUACCGGAUAAUAUAUUGAACCGCAUGGUUCAAUAGUGAAAGACGGUUUUGCUGUCACUUAUAGAUGGAUCCGCGCCGCAUUAGCUAGUUGGUAAGGUAACGGCUUACCAAGGCAACGAUGCGUAGCCGACCUGGGAGGGUGAUCGGCCACACUGGAACUGAGACACGGUCCAGACUCCUACGGGAGGCAGCAGUAGGGAAUCUUCCGCAAUGGGCGAAAGCCUGACGGAGCAACGCCGCGUGAGUGAUGAAGGUCUUCGGAUCGUAAAACUCUGUUAUUAGGGAAGAACAAAUGUGUAAGUAACUAUGCACGUCUUGACGGUACCUAAUCAGAAAGCCACGGCUAACUACGUG